GACACCAUAGAGGUGGGCCUUUGGCGAGUCACAGGCGCGGGUGUUCGGCUACGUCACUGGGGCGCUACGGUGCCUGGAGCUGGGCAGUCUUCUCGUCAGAGUGGGGACUGGUAAGAGCGACCUCACCGCCAGGUCCUGUGUGUUGCCGGCUGAAGAAGGGUAGCUGAAAAAUUCAGACCCAGCACAGUGUUUAUGUUGGUCAAAAAUAGAAAACUAUGUCUGCCGCGGCCGAGGCAGGAGGACCCUUCAGGCCAAGAGCAGCCUAGCAACAUGGCGCAACCCCAUCUCUGUAGUCCUACCUCAGCCCCCCAGCUACUUGAACCCAAAGGUUCAAGGCUCCAGUGAGCUAUGAUCCCACCACAGCAUUCCAGCCUGCGAGAUUGAGAUGAUGAUUAUUCCCCACCUUCUAAGAGACAAAGACCAACGAUCCACCACAGCCACCAGUCCCAGAACCCGCCAAUGCUGGGGAAUGGAAAAUGAGGGAGUUCAACUCUGGCCCUCACAAUCCAGUGGAGGAGACGAAACUCAUCUGCCUCUGUCCCUCUGGGCACGCCUCAUGCCAGGUGCAUCUGUGGACAGGGGCCAUGCUCCUGGGCUUCCAAAGUUGGAGAAAGCUGCCAGGCUCAGGUCUGAAGGCCAGAAUUCUACAGUAAGUCCUACUGAGUCAAGGUGGGAGCAGGGUCGGUGGCUUCCGAGGCUCUGCGGGAGAAUCCGUUUCCUGGCCGUAGAGGUGGCCUGCACUCCUCAGCUUGUGCUGCCCGUCUCGAAUGACUGGAGUUUCCUGCUUCUGUCACUACACCUCCCACCCUCUCCAUCACCUGCUCUGCUCUUAUAAGGAUCCGAAGAAAUGGAAUCAUCGUAUCGCUGAUCUGCGUAAACAAAUUGAAGAAUUGUCUGAAAGAAAAUAUGACAUGAACUUAUGAAUUCAACAGGUAAAGAUUUACAACUUGAUAAAUCAACUUUGUGAGCUCGAGCUGUAAAAGCCAAAGGUCCAGUGAUGAUCCCAUACCCUUUUGUCCAGUCUCAUGUUGAAGAUUUUUAUGUAGAAGGCCUUCCCAAAGGAAUUUUUUUUUUUUUUUUGAGAUGGAGUUUUCACUCUUAUCGCCCAGGCUGGGGUGCAAUGGCGCAACCUUGCUGGUCACUGCAACCUCUGCCUCCUGGGUUCAAGAAAUUCUCUUGCCUUAGCCUCCCAAGUUGCUGGGAUUACAGGUGCCCACCACCACACCAGGCUAAUUUUUGUAUUUUUAGUGGAGAUGGGGUUUCACCAUGUUGGCCGGGCCAGUCUCGAACUCCUGACGUCAAGUGAUCUUCCCGCCUCGACUCCUGACAUCAAGUGAUCUUCCCACCUCGGCCUCCAAGAGUGCUGAGAUUACAGAUGUGAACCCAUGCCUGGCCAGGAAUUUUGUUUUUUAGGAAGGCUUUCUACUAAUGGAAUUCCUGGCCUUGAGAGGAUGUUACUUUCGAAGGAAAGGAUUUUUUUGUUAUUAAAAGAGCCACCUAAGCUGAAGAUUCCCUUGAGAACAAGUACUGUCCUGCGGUUUCAUGGCCUUUCUUCCAUUUGUGGUUCUUGUGAAGUGGAAUUUAAAUGACAUCAAGAUGGAUAAACCCUAGUUUCCCAGUGCUGGAAUAUAGAAAAUGGAUGGACAAGUAAAUCCCACUCAGCACCCAUAGUCCAGGCAUGGGGAUCUCAACACACCUGAGCCCCAGACAUCACCUUUCAUUCUGGACCUACCAUGAAAGACUUCUGAAUCCAGGAAGAGAAACUGACUGGGCAACAUGUUAUUCAGGUGCCCAGGUUUCAUAUUGUUUAAACAACUUGUGCA
rnacentral:lncRNA from 1 species